AUAAAAUAACAUGAUGCAUAUACAAAGCAUGAGCAGGAUAUCAACAUUAGCACGGGAUGCAACAUAAAUAUCCACCAUAUCAACUAUGAAUAAUCUCCAACUGAACAUGGCAUAAUGAUGAGCAUAAAUAUUACAGGUGCAACAGUACUCAUAGUAUAACAUGACUAUUAUCACCAACCAUAAAUAACAUGCAAGAACUCAUCAAUAACAUUUCCGAGUAAACACUUAACCAACUAGUAGUAAAGGAACAAUGCAUAUUAACAGUACUCGGUAACCGACGUUAGUCAUGCACCGAAGAACAUGACCAACCCAAUAUGUACUACUAUCAAGCAUGGCAAUAUGAAAGUAAUACUAGCAACUAGCAGGGCAUGAUAACCAGGUGCAUAACAACAUAGCAAGCAAGUAAGCACUAACCCAGAAAUAUUACCGAAACAACGAUAACCAUAUUUUAAACAAGCAAUCAUUUAAUAAAUAUUCAAGUUGAAUACCAUGGCUAUUGCAUGGCUAUCAUGCAAAUGUGUAUUGUGGCUUGCCUGGGGUGAAGAAAGCACUGGGAAGAAAUGCGGUGAAGCUACGGAAAGAUUGCCGGAAAUAGUUCUCUCUCGGAGGGGCUGUUUACGUGCAAGGGCAAAAAGGUCAUUUUCACAGUGUCAAACCACAGUGAAAAUGAAACCAACAGAACAGGCUCGACGAAAUGAAGACAUGGGCUUUGGAAUCACCUCAUUUGGAGUUGGGAGUAAAAAGAUAUAAGGGUUUUACUGACAGGGACCUAUCUGUAAUAAAAUCAUCACAAACAGGCCCUCGGCGGGAAAAAUAGAACGCGUACUCGAUGAAAUACACUUUCGGUGAAGUGAAAGCAUACUCUGCCCACAACCGCAGUUGUUUUUGCUUUCGGUUAGCGAAAACAUAUUUUGUGGAAUACGUUUCCACUAAUCCACAUCAGCGAGGGCGGGUCAACAUGCUGUGCGGCUGACGAGGGGGUCCGCGAGCGAUGGGGCCCGCCUGGCCUGGGCUCGUCUUCAACCUCGCUCGCUCCCGCGCGGGUCAGAGGACUGGCCGGCCACGAUGGGGAUUGCCGGCGACUCCGGGCGUCUCCCGCAGUGCUCCGCCUACGGGCGAGCUCAGCGCAGAGAGGCGCAUCUGGUGGUGCCAUCCGCGGCCGGUGAGGAGGACCGAGGCAGCAGUGGCUAUGAGGCCGGCGGACGGUGGCGUCGGGAGGAGAUGGGCAUGGCGCCCCGGUGCGCCAGAGGAGGGGUUGAGGAGCUGGGGUGACUCCGGGGUGAUGGUGGAAGCGGUUGGUGGAGGAAUGAGGAGGGGAGGGGCUCGGCAUGUCACGAAUUUGCGAGGAGGAAGCCGGCGGCCGAGGCGGCCAUUGACGAUGAGGAGAGCCACUCGAGCUCGGGGAAAUAGUCAGGGGAGGCUAGAGGAGGUGUAGGAGGCCAGUGGUGAAGCAAUACGGGGUUGGGGUGGCCUUAUAUAGGCGGGAGAGGGGUGUGCCGCGCUGGCGUCGCUGGAGACGCGUGUCCGGCGCCACAAACGCAUGCCCUCGCUCGCGAGCUCGGAGGUAGACGACGUAGGAGGAGCAGUGGAGGCUCUCACGGGGCAAAGGAGGCCAAGGGGGCGCAGGGAGGAAGAAGACGGCGAAGAACCGAGCCAAAACGCCACUGUGCGCCCGUGGGCACGCGACGGCUUGCGUCGGUGAGGAAGCUGCCGGAGAGAGAGUGGGGUCUAGGUGAUCGGCGACGACGAGAGGAAUACAAUGGACAUGCUCACAAGCGCUAGGACGACGAGAGGAGGAGGGGCCCGAGCACAAACGAUGUUCUGGCCGCGCACACUGCAUGCCAAAGCGGUGGUCACCGCGCGCACUAGUGCACACAGUACCACAAGCGAUGCCAAAUGAUGUCUGGUGUGGAGUCCUUCCUGAGGAGGUUGCAACUACGGUGGUAGUUUGGUUAAAAGUGACAUGGUUAAAUGGCAGUUAACACCUAAAGUUUACUGCAGUAAACUUGAUCGUGUACUGCUGCUCAACAGGGAGGUGAUUGGUGACAAUGGAGUUGUUUGGGAGGGUGAGGUAAAGAAGAACUUUCAUCCUGGUAAUUUUGAGAAGAUUAUGAUCAAGAUUUAAUGUAGUUGCUUAACAACCACAUAAACUGGUCCAGAAACUAGAUUAGGAUGAUGCACUCGCAUGGAGUUUCAAAUUGAGCUGAAAUUGGGCAAGGCGGAGUCAUUUGUUCCUGUGAAGAUGCUCAAAAAGUUUCAUACCAAUUGGCUAAGCCAAACUGGUACUUGCUUCACAAACAUCUCCUCUGGACAAAAACUUGCAAAAAUUCUAGAAGAAUAAUGGCUUGAUGAAACAUGCCCAAAAUGGGUGGAGGUAGGUUAUAUGGAUAAUAUAAGGCCUAGAAAAAUUGGCAGCCAUAAUGGAGCAAGAUAAAAUAUACUUGCUUCACAAACUGAAAUUUUGGACAGAAUCAAAGAAUUGAAGGUGAGCUCACAUGGAGGCAUGACAUGAUCUCUACUUUAGUGGAGGGCUAUGAUAUGAUGAUAUGAGGGACCAUGCAAAAUGGAAACUCAUUUGGAUAUUCCUAGCUUGUACUUCCUUCACAACUAGUUCCCUCAGACAGGAACUUUGAAAAAUUGCUUAGGAAUAUUUACUAUGCAAAUUAAGUUUAAUUUUGGUAUGAGGCUAUUAUAUGGACAUGAAAAGGUUUCCAACAAGUUUUAGGUCAAUUGGGAAAAGAUAAAUGGCACUUGAUUCACAUUCUGCCAUUUAGGACAUAAUAGGAAAUGAAUUAAUUGAGCAUGAUGGGGAACAUGGAAAAUUAAAUAUUUUGCCAUAUUUGAGAAAGAUAUGACCCAAACAAUUUAUGAUAAUUAUUUGGGAAUUUUAGGAGUGAUGGAAAUAUAGGUUGCUUCACAAUCUAGGGCAAUUUGAGUUAUUCCUUUAAUAGAAAGGGAAUAUUCCCAAUAAAAAAGAAUAUUGAGAUUUGGGCUAGGAUGAAAAUGACAGGGUCUAGGGAAGGAGUUGGGUAUGACAAGCCACUCUAGAAGCAAAGAAGAGGGCAUCUUCUUCAGUUUCCAGACCUCAAAGCGACGGAAAAAGAAAACUCAAGCAAAAACCUCAGAAAAACAAAGGAAAAAGAAAGGGACAAAAACCAGGCUGUCACAAACCUUACCCCCUUAAAGAAAUCUCGUCCUCGAGAUUUGGUUGCUCAGGGAACAAGUAUGAAGAUACUGACUUAAGGAAACUGUUUCCAACUCGGGUAUCCUUUUUUAUUUUUGUUGCCACUAAAUUUUUCUCUGACUGGCCCUGGGGUGGUUUGCUUUAAUAUAUCCAUAUUCUGACAGAUAUUACCUUGCUGUUCAUGCUUAUCCAGGCUCCAAUUUCUUUUUAGAUCUGCUGACUUAGCUGACUGUGAUUGAUCCUCACGACUGAAAUCUCUGACAAUCUUUCAUGAAGUGGUGAUCAGAUUUUUCUAGUGGACACCCAAGCUCUAACUCCUUGCAUUGGGUUUUAUCCACUAAAUGCAGGUCCUUCGGGUUCCAAAUAGUGAAUUGGGUCAUAACCGCUUUCUGACAGAUUCUGGCUUAUCGCGGAAAUUUCUGAAUCAUCUUAACUGGUUCCACUAUCUUGAGUAUCGAAUCCAUACCAAAUAUUUCAUUAUCGCCCGCAUCACUGGUCUUGCUCCGUCAUUAUUGUUUUCUUGGCCUGGAUCCUUGGCUGAAAGAGCUGGGUCAUAUUGCUUCUUUGUAUCACCAUAGGUACCGUCGGUGCAAUUUUUCUGGCAAUCGCAGCUUAUCCUCAUUUUUCUGACAGGGUACCCCAUUAAAUUGCAGGUUCAACACCCCUCAAGUUCUGACCGCAGGAAAAUGAUCAUCCGAACCUUUGCAAGAAAUCGGAAAAUAAAUCAGUAUCCACCAGAACGGUCUUUACAACUCAGAUCUAGGACAUUACUGAAAUAACUCAACCACGGCUCAAGACGGCCGAAAAGCAGCUCAGAACAUAAGACCGGGUUGAUAAGAAGAAUGUGGCAGCUCCCUAAAAUAGCCAAAAAGCAGCUAUAGGGCUACUGUUACAAAAAGAAACUCAACAGCUGUACGAGACAGCCGAAAAGCAGCUCAGAACUCGUGACCGUCGUUGAAGAGAGAAAUAAAAAUCGUCAUCCACCCCGGAUAGCUAAAAACAGCUUAGAUCACAGGCGUGGUGCCGUCAUUGGAGAAAAAGGGGACAAGGGCUCAUCAGGAUCAUUUUCUAGGUUCACAGGUACUUGCAUUGAGCUCAUUGAUGUCGUCAAUCCUCAUAAUCCUUUGUCACACUACGGUGUAUAAUGGCUUUCUUCUCUUAACCAUCCUCACGUGGUUGUCAGAUCCUCAUCCGAGUGACUUGUAAGAUCUUGGUGGUAUGCCCACCGCAUAUAUAUGAGAAUCUGGUUCCCGAGACAGACAUGUAUUCUGACUGAUGCUUGCUUCUGACCAAAAUGUUGCGUAUCUGAUUCUUGGGAUUCACUGCCAUAUGCUAGCGUACUACCUUGUACCAAUGUCUUACUGAGGAAGAUUGGCUGGCUUGUGCUCGAAACUUUCAUCGGACAACUUGCUGAAGAAGACUGGGUAUCGUGCUUCAGAAGCUUAUCCCCUUAAAGACUUUGCUGGGGAAAGACGCAAUACCUUAUGCCGGAAGCUUUUCAGGUUGCCUACUGAAGAAGGCAGAGUACCUUGUACGGGGAAUCAUCCAUGUAUCAUACUGAGGAAGAUAGAUGAAUCUUGCCUUGGAAGCUUCUCGGGUAUCUUGCGAGGGAAGAUUGGGUUGCUUACACCAGAAGCUUCUUAUUGUGAUAUGUGGACCGGUUUCCACAUAUAUAAUCAUCUUAAAAUUUUUGUUAUUGAUUUCUUGUAUGAAACAGGGUUUUGCAGGACUAUCCUCCUUUCUGAGUACAUGCCAUAUUUUUUUCUUGCUUCCAGGUACAUCGGGUUCCAAAAUCAUCCUCAAUGAAAAAUUAAACUUGUUUCUGAGCCAUACCUUUGAUCAUAUUCUGUCAACCUUGCACACAAUUUUAUCUUCUUGGUGAUUUGAUCAUUUAUGCUAUGAGGAGUGCACGUUAAUGCAAACUUUAUACUGACAUUCCAUCCAGGAUUUCUUUUGUAUUCAGACGAGCUAUUUCCAAUUUCACUGCAGCCUGCUGACAAUUCCAUUCUGUUUAGCUGAGUUUCCAAAUAUAUGCAUUUCUUGCUGACUCUUUGGGUCUGGUGUCGGCUGACGAGCAACUUUAAUAGGGGAAAAUUUGUAACACCGAAGGCCCAAAGAAAUAAACAAAAGAAAUGACUAAAAAAACACACAAGCAUACUACUAAUAUAAUUAAUCAAGCAAUCAUCACACAUUACUGCUACUCACACCAUAAUAUGCAUGCACACCUAAGCACACAAGUCGUGCGGAAACUCCAGUAUUACGGUCUAAUAUGCUGUGGCGGUGUGCACGAAAAUUAUAUCCAUGUGUGGAAGGAGUUGGCAUAACCAAAGCUACACCAAGCACUGGCUGAACAGUGGCUGGAUCUGGAUGGAUACACAUGUGAGGACGGACUUGACGAUCAACUAACGAGACACAAAUGUCACGACCACCUCAUCAUCAAGCGUAUGAAGGGAAUCGUACCUGUCCAAAGAAUGAAAUGACAUGGCAAGAUAACAGUGGAAGAUUGGGUUUAUUGGCAUUGCCCUUUUCUGAUAACAAAGAUCAGCAAGGGUUGCCAAGGGGGCGAGAUGGAGGGCAUGGAUGAUGAUAUGGUCGCAUCACACCGAGGAGCAGGCAUGCUAAGAAAGAUGGUGCAGGCGGUGGACCGAAAAUGAUGCCACCUAUACUCACAAGAUGAACCGUUAGCGACAAAAUAAUAAUCUAUAUGCAUGCUAUGCAACAAACAAAUGCAACAAUCAAGUGCAACAAACCAACUGGGGUCUAUACUACCACUUUUUAACGUUCGCGCGGGCUAGGGCAUCCUACAGCCAGACCUGCUCUGAUACCAAGCCUGUGGCACCCCAGCUUAGAGAAAACCGGAACACCCCAUAUUCUAGCCCAGAGAUCGAGGAGAAGUCUUCUGGAAUACGGAAAUGCUUAGCAUAGAACAAACCAGCUUGCUAUUAUUACACAAAUAUGAUUACAAGGUCUCCGAUAUUACAAUGAAUAACAUCAGCACGGUGACACUACGCCAUCCUCAAUUGCUCUAUGCAAGUAGUAGAACAACUCGAAGCAGCGGAAUAACUCUUGCAGCGGAACAACGACGACGGUGGUGAACUCCACUCCGCAUGGACUCUGGCUAGAACGCUUAUCCUAGCUCGCGAACACAGGAACAACACCAAAUAAGCAAGCAAUCCAGGCACGACCUGCAAACUGGCAUGACACACCAGGUCAGUACAUUGAAUGUACUUGCAAGCUCACAAUAACCAGAAGCAUUCAAGACAAACAACAACAUGGCAAUUACAGGUUAAGCAGGAAUUAUCAUGAAGUCCUCAGGAGAACAUGGCAUCAACAAUAUGAUACAGCUAGAACAAUAUGAGCAUGGCAUGAACAUAUGAAUCUGACAUGCAACAUGAUGACACUACAUGCACCAUUUAUUCUGUUCGGGUUGCCUCGUAACCAUCACAUGCAUCACUUACCAACGUCGAACAUUACACGAUCAUCUCAGGAUCAAAUCAAGCUUGGUACAAACAAUACCAUAGUAAUCAUUAAAUGACCACAAGGAGCUUGAUCUUUACCCACGAUUCUCGCACAACAUCACGAAUAUCCAACAACUCAGUAUCCUCGAUACCACGGUGAUCUUUCCAGCGAUCACAACCAUGACCAACAGUUGGUCUCAAACGGUGAUCUUUCCGGCAAUCACCACCAUCUUAUCUCAUCAUCGAACAGUGGUUGUUAUUAAGCACAUUAUUAUUAUUAUUAUUAUUAUUAUUAUUAUUAUUAUUAUUAUUAUUAUUAUUAUUAUUAUUAUUAUUGUCACCGUUGACUCACGGUGUGACCGACACGAACUGGGCCCUUAUCCACGGGCACGGCUAUCGGUAGAUUUAAUAUACACUCUGCAGAGGUAGCACACUGUACCCACACCACGGAACCCAUGGCCUCGCACUCCCAUAUGUGUGGACACGACGUUCCGACAAAACUGAUCUACUGCCAUGACACUCUCCCGGCCACUCCGACUCACUCCCCACUAGGCUAGUCCUGGGUGGCCCCGUACCAAAGACACACCGACCACCGUCGUGGCCAACACGUCCCUCACGGGGUCCGGAUCCAUAAUAACAACAACGAACACACAAAGUUAUGUCCGCCUACCUGAUUAGGGUAGAGCGCGCCCAUAACUUUCCCUCGUUGUAGGCACCGACGAGAGGCACGACAAUAGACCCAAUUAGGACCUUCCCAUAAAAGGUAAGCGUGGUUGCACUGGUCAGUUUCGAUAUGGUGGCACCAUGACUCAGCCAACAGUUGUUCAAGUUCAAUUAAAUCCGGUUAAACUUGAAUGCAAUAUGCUGAGCUAUGAUAAAAUAACAUGAUGCAUAUACAAAGCAUGAGCAGGAUAUCAACAUAAGCACGGGAUACAACAUAAAUAUCCACCAUAUCAACUAUGAAUAAUCUCCAACUGAACAUGGCAUAAUGAUGAGCAUAAAUAUUACAGGUGCAACCGUACUCAUAGUAUAACAUGACUAUUAUCACCAACCAUAAAUAACAUGCAAGAACUCAUCAAUAACAUUACUGAGUAAACACUUAACCAACUAGUAGUAAAGGAACAAUGCAUAUUAACAGUACUCAGUAACCGACGUCAGUCAUGCACCGAAGAACAUGACCAACCCAACAUGUACUACUAUCAAGCAUGGAAAUAUGAAAGUAAUACUAGCAACUAGCAGGGCAUGAUAACCAGGUGCAUAACGACAUAGCAAGCAAGUAAGCACUAACCCAGAAAUAUUGCCGAAACAACGAUAACCAUAUUUUAAACAAGCAAUCAUUUAAUAAAUAUUCAAGUUGAAAACCAUGGCUACUGCAUGACUAUCAUGCAAAUGGGUAUUGUGGCUUGCCUGGGGGUGAAGAAGGCACCGGGACGAAAUGCGGUGAAGCCGCGGAAAGAUUGCCGGAAAUAGUUCUUUCUUGGAGGGGCUGUUUAAGUGCAAGGGAAAAAAGGUCAUUUUCACAGUUUUAAACCAUAAUGAAAAUGAAACCAACAGAACGGGCUCGAUGAAAUGAAGAUGUGGGCUUUGGAAUCACCUCAUUUGGAGUUGGGAGUAAAAAGAUAUAAGGGUUUUUCUGCCAGGGUCCUAUCUGUAUUAAAAUCAUCACAAACAGGCCCUCAGCGGGAAAAACAGAACGCGCACUCGAUGUAAUACGCUUUUGGUGAAAUGAAAGGGUACUCUGGCC
rnacentral:lncRNA from 1 species